rnacentral:lncRNA from 1 species
GCCUUAAUGAGCAGCUCUGAGGUGGCACCUGUGGGCCCUAUCAACUGGGGGAGGUGCUCAGCCAGCUGUGCUGUCCUGAGGUGUGGGGAGAGCUGCUUCUGGAGGGACAGGGCACUCAGACUUUGUCCUUGGAGCUGUGGUGAUGGGACUGCAGGCGAUCUGGAUCUCUGCAUCGUAAAGGAAACACGCUGUAUGCUUCCAUACAAUACCACACCUCUAGAAGCCACACUGAAUUUAAGGAGAAACCCUUCUCUUUCCUGGGUUGCUUGCACCAAGCUGCGCAAAUCCUGAUGGCCUUAAGCACGCCAACCUGGUCCCAGUGGAGCUACUCACAUCCUGAGUUAUGCAGAAAUUAAACUAUACUCCAAAAGGCUUGCUUCAAAACCCAGCAGUAAGGCUAAGGGCCUCAGUAUCACCUGUUAUCUGAGGGAGAAUAGCUGAAGGAAAAUGUUCCCGUCGUGUUCUCAAGACUGAAAAGCAAAGAUGUGCUGGAGCCCAAUAACAACAAUCGAUGCUUCCAGCCCUGGCUUUGGUGAAAUCCACAUGAGGAUGGGUUAUCUGAAGUUCUCCUGCUACCCCACGUCACUGAACGCCUCUGCAGGGAUGAGCCAAUUCAGCAGAAGUCCUAAGUGAAUUCUGGUGAGAAAAGGAAACAGAGGACAGGCUGCAAUCAAGCUGAAGCGUCGGGCAAACAGAAAUCAGCCUGCUUGUGUGAGAGCUGCACCAUCAAGGGCUGUGUCGUAUUCCUGCUGCAUUUCAAGCAGCUUUUCAUUUCCAUUUGGGCAGACUGACAGAAGACCCAGUAGGGGCCACAGCAGCACACUUUUGGAUCAUAUUAAUGUAUUAACAAAUACGGGACUGAGACUCCUUUAGCGCGGCAUUAGGAACCUGGCAUGAAACCACGUAGCUUGAGGGCUGCCCAAAACAAACCAGGGCUGCCAGGGGGAGGCACAAACUGUGCCGAAGUGCUGAUGUGGCACCACGACAGUCAAGGUCAUCCUUUGUGAGAG